UUUUUUUUGUUUUUUAAGGAUGCUUCGAAUUCUUUUGCUCGUUUAGCACACUGGCAGCAUAAGCCUCAUACUACAAGUAAAAAUGGUAAACGCCUUCACUUACCGUACAUAAAGAACAUGGCGUGCAUCUUCUUGGUGAAGCAUAUAUCGUGGGCUGCCAUGGACCACCUGAUGCGAAACGUAUUGCACACAUAACGGAUGGGCAGAGUGCCCCAGAUGCCGGGAUCAUCGAAGCAGGAAUAAUGAUUGGAGACGGUCACUAAGGGUAUGCCCUUGGGUCGUUUGGCAACAGCUUUCAUUAGACGCUCCUUGUUAUGGACUUUCGUUUUAUUCAUUAGUACUGAGGAAGUCAACAAACGUAGCGAUUAGCUCUUUAUCCAAUUGUCGGAGAGUGUCAUUUUUGACUAUGCUAAACUAGGAAAUGCCUUGCAUGACCACAUAUUCUGGCAAUUUUUGCUCAAUAAGAAAACCGGAAGAACAGUAGCAUGACCAUGAUGGUCCACACAAGGCAGAUUCGCGCCAAAAAUAAACAUAUGGUAUAUAUAUGAUAAAGUGAAACAAAGAUGAGAGCAUUGAGUACUCGUAUAUCGAAAGAUAUAAGAAAGACACAAGAUAGAAAGGAUUACCACCGAGUAUUAGGCUGUAGUAAAGAUCUCGGAGCAUGCAGGUCGCCUCAAGGCUUGAGGCUUGUCACGUUUGUGUGUGAGAGUUUUGCUUACCUAGGACAAACUUGCUGAUGAGGCCAACGAGAGUAAUC